rnacentral:lncRNA from 1 species
CAUGAUUUCAAAGAAAAGCUCUUAGCUGCCAAUUUGUAGCACCUUGCUAGAUCCCUCCCCAGCUGUGUAAAAGUCGAUAGCUAACCCAUCACAGCUGCUCAUCAUUACCUGCCCUCCUCAGGGCCACCUUCCAUAGCUGAUGAGGCAGCCAGAGGGAUGCUGGUGCCUCCCUGACCAGGGCCAGGGAGAGGAGCAUCCACCUAUAGCCACACAAACGAAUGCAGAGCUGAGUGUGACAAAUGCCUUGUGGAGAAAAGGUAAUUACCACUGCUGUAUAAGGGGAACUGCUCUAAUUAGGUGGUCAGGGAAGAAGUCUCUGAAGAAGCGAUGUUGAGUGGUUAUGAUAACUAAUCUUGGUUGUCAACUUGUUGUGUGAUGUCCUGAUUGCAUUCUGACAAUAAAGUUUGUUUUGAAUCAGAAGGCGGAGCUAGCCAGUAGCUGACCAAAAUUAACCACAAUGGUUUUAGAGGACUGAGGACAGAUAGAG